ACCUUGUUACGACUUCUCCUUCCUCUAAGUGUUAAGGUUCACAAAACUUCCCAUUUCGGGCACGAACGCGCCACAAAACGGUCCGAAUAAUUCACCGGAACACUCAAUCGGUAGGAGCGACGGGCGGUGUGUACAAAGGGCAGGGACGUAAUCGGCGCAAGCUGCUGACUUGCGCCUACUAGGCAUUCCUCGUUGAAGAUUAAUAAUUGCAAUAAUCUAUCCCCAUCACGAUGCAUACUCACAAGAUUACCUAGACCUAUCGGCCAAGGUUAUAAACUCGUUGGAUGCAUCAGUGUAGCGCGCGUGCAGCCCAGAACAUCU
rnacentral:rRNA from 1 species